CUGUGCAACGGUGAACAUCGUCUUCCAGUCUCCAACAGUUCCUGAAAAUGCAAGAGGAUACAGCAGCAGAACACAAGAGUAGACUUAGCUUGACGUCUUGAUUAAGCUAAUGUCCAACUAUCAGUACGGAACACAUCGGAUCUCCGGAUGAGUACUCGGCCUCAAACCUGGUGGCUUCUUGUCUCCACGACAAGAAGAGCAGUGACGAGGGAACAUGAGUGUAACUACUUUCAAGUAAAUCCAGGUACUGGAGCAUGCAUUGAUAUUGACUGUGACAGUGAUUUUGUUGGAGAUUGCCUCACAAAAUCAAGGUACGAUGACGGGCAAACGGGCGUCAGCCACGCUUCCAUGCAUGCUAUAGGUGCUACAUUUGGGGCUUACCCUGGUGUUGGAACUCUUGCCUUGGAAGGAGUGGAUCAAUUUUGUAUGCUUUUAACACUGUAUUCAUAUUUGCUCAGAGUACAUGCAGCAAACCGUGGUUCGAUAUGGGCUCUCUAAACCGCUAAAAAUGUGUGUUCUCGGCUUUCUUUGAUUGUACGUAAGCCAAAGACCGGGAGAGGCGUAGAGGAGGACGAAGCCAUGGGACUGGAACCAGAGACACAUAACAACAGCGUUUGCAGACAACUAGAUUAACUUUUUCCAUGUAUCUCUGAGGUCAUCUUAAUGCAGAAAUCUGUAGGAUAAACAGUGUGUACUUGCUAUAAGCUGACGGCAGAAGGUCCCAACGACUGAUGUACGGAUUUGUUGUCUAGGCCAGGACGUCUCUGCAGUGAACUGUAUGCG